CUACGUUGGAGGGCCAUAAGUGAAAUUUACCCAUCAGCAAAAGAGGCGAAAAACAGGGCGGGGCUGUUUCAUUUUCAAACUACACUGCUACAGGGUAUCUAUAUAUUUUUUGAAGAUAUAAGAUCUGCCUCCGGAUUCGUGCCUCCGUCUCCUUUCCCUUCUCACCAGGCGAUUCUUGGACGAACGAGAGAGAGAGAGAGAGAGGGAGGGAGGGGACAGACAUUUCGAAUAAAGCUUCGACACUUUCUCUCUCUGCUCUUUUCUCUCUCCUGGGUCUAUACCCCCCCUUACAAUUUACCAGAAAAAGUAAUAGGGGUUAUCAAUGUGCUCCGCGACGCGACCUCGAGUCGAUGCUGGAACCGGUUUUGUCUGCUUCACCAUAGCCGUGAGCGAUUUCCAGCGCAAAAGGUUUACAGACACCACAAGUGGUUACUGCCAGGAUUCUUCUUUGUUCCUACUACCGUAUGCAUGAGGAAUCCUAUAUUACGGUAGUUUUGGAAAGCCAUGAAAUAGGAUACUUCAGGCUUGGAAUGGGGAAUGAAGCCAGUGGUCCGGGUAGCAUAUCUAUGUAUCUACCAAAUUAGUGUUUCAUCUAAAGGAUUUACUUAGUUUGAAAUUCUUCUACAUUUGUAGCUUUGGAGCAGUUACUGGAACAGUAUUUUUUUGUCUCUCUCUCUCUCUCUCUCUUGUGCUCUUCUCAGUAGCCGAUUGUAAUUGCUUUUUGUGGUGCUGUAGCCGAUUGUAAUCGCUUCUGUGUUGUGUAACAUAAGAGUGCCAUGUUUCAUUAGAUCAUGGCAGACUAUUGAUGAUGAAAGGAAGAACAUAUGGUUAGCAGUAGUCUGCUGUUACCCUAUUGCUAGCAUGAGCUUGAGGAUCAUUGCAACUGUAUUACCCUAGUAGGUAUGGAAAAUUAGUGGUUAAAAAGUGGAGGAGCGAUCUUUGUGUAUUUUGAUAACUGGUGUUUGUGUGGAAGGGUAGUGAUGAUGCCAAGGUUUUAAAUAUUGGUGGAUACAUGUCUGAGUUUUGGUUCUCCGUCAAUGUUAUGCUAUACACCUUCGUGAAUGAGAAUUACAUGCAUAAUUGCCAAUUCUAUACUAGGCAUGCUAUUUGUCUGUUUCUAUCUGAUUCGGUCACUGAUUCUUAGCUGAUAGCAUUGACAGGACCAAUUCAAUGGCCGUAAAGCUGUUUUUUGUCGGCAGUGAUUUUAGAAGGAUCAUAUUUUGUGGUGAGCAAAAGGACAUGGAUGGACUUAAGUGGAUGUGCUUGGAGUUGGUGUUGAAGACAAAAGGGUUAGAUCAGACUUGUUCAUAUUAAGACUUUGUGGCUCUCGUUAGUUGAUGUCUAAGAAUGUGAUCAUUUUAUUACCUUCGUAAAGACUUCUACAUCCCCAAUGGUUGGUUAGGAUUAAUUUUAUCAAAUGAUCAAGAUAAACUCCUUAGAACCAUCCUAUGGUUAUUUUUCUAUAAAAUCCACUGGAA